rnacentral:rRNA from 1 species
GGUGAACACGGAGCUUGCUCUGUGGGAUCAGUGGCGAACGGGUGAGUAACACGUGAGCAACCUGCCCCUGACUCUGGGAUAAGCGCUGGAAACGGCGUCUAAUACUGGAUAUGUGACGUGACCGCAUGGUCUGCGUUUGGAAAGAUUUUUCGGUUGGGGAUGGGCUCGCGGCCUAUCAGCUUGUUGGUGAGGUAAUGGCUCACCAAGGCGUCGACGGGUAGCCGGCCUGAGAGGGUGACCGGCCACACUGGGACUGAGACACGGCCCAGACUCCUACGGGAGGCAGCAGUGGGGAAUAUUGCACAAUGGGCGGAAGCCUGAUGCAGCAACGCCGCGUGAGGGAUGACGGCCUUCGGGUUGUAAACCUCUUUUAGCAGGGAAGAAGCGAAAGUGACGGUACCUGCAGAAAAAGCGCCGGCUAACUACGUGCCAGCAGCCGCGGUAAUACGUAGGGCGCAAGCGUUAUCCGGAAUUAUUGGGCGUAAAGACCCCCGUAGGCGGUUUGUCGCGUCUGCUGUGAAAUCCCGAGGCUCAACCUCGGGCCUGCAGUGGGUACGGGCAGACUAGAGUGCGGUAGGGGAGAUUGGAAUUCCUGGUGUAGCGGUGGAAUGCGCAGAUAUCAGGAGGAACACCGAUGGCGAAGGCAGAUCUCUGGGCCGUAACUGACGCUGAGGAGCGAAAGGGUGGGGAGCAAACAGGCUUAGAUACCCUGGGUAGUCCACCCCGUAAACGUUGGGGAACUAGUUGUGGGGGUCCAUUCCACGGGAUUCC